AUUAUUGUGUUUUUUAAUAAAUUCUAACCAUUUGAAUCAGGUAUAUGCGCGUGAAAUAAUAUAUAUUUAUUUAUUUCCAACACCACUAUUCCUGUGCAGUAGAGUUACUCCCCUUUACGCGGAAUUAUUACAUUGUUGUUACGGUGAAUUCGGGAGCGAUCUUUUGAGCAGUUUUACGGAUAUCGGUACGAUAAACACAGUAUUUGUUUGGCAGGAAGAGAAAUCGUCUCAUUUGGUAUCGAUGCAGAGAACAUGACUGACAAAGAUCUAUUGGACAGUGAUUAUGAUGGGAUUUCACAAAUACAUGAGCACAGUUACAUUGUGAUAUCUGACUCUGACGAGACACAACCACCUUCACCUUUUGGUUGACAGGAAUAUUCCAGUGAAAGAUCAGUUGUUCAACAGCCUUUUUGACAAACAAAUUCCUGGUGCUGCCAUUCCUAAUCAACCGACAUAUCAGAAUUUUGGAUAAGAAUUCAGAUUACUGGCUGCAUAUUCAACCGAAUUUUUGGGUCCUGGGUUGGUGGGGGGUAACGUGUUUCAGACCAGAAUCCUGCCGGACCAUCCAAUUGCAAGGACAUCUAACAUAGCUGAAAUGUAUCUGUAAUGAAUUAUUAAAAGUUUGGAUAAAAAAUGUGUUCUUAAAUCAUUAUUUUAAACAAAUUAUACACCCAGGUUGACUAUUUUGAAAAAAUGAAAAAUGACAAUUUUUACACAUGGGAUUUUUCAAUGUUUCCGCAUUCACUAACAUUACUUUAGACAAUGUAAGAUAGACAAACCAUACAUAUUUGGAAAUGGUUUACUAAUAUCUAUCAGAAAAUGUAUAAUUUUACUGGGUUUAUGUCAAUUUUCAAAAUCAGUGGUUAUUGCU